AUUGAACGCUGGCGGCAGGCUUAACACAUGCAAGUCGAGCGAGCGGCGGACGGGUGAGGAAUGUCUGGGAAACUGCCGGAUGGAGGGUGAUAACUACUGGAAAAGGUAGCUAAUACCGCAUAGCAUCAGAGGUGUCCAGAUGGGAUUAGCUAGUAGGUGGGGUAAGUGCUCACCUAGGCGACGAGCCAUAGCUGGUCUGAGAGGAUGACGCGCCACACUGGAACUGCGACACGGUACAGCCUCCUACGGAAGCCAGCAGUUGGGAAUAUUGCGCAAGGGGCGCAAGCCGGAUGCCGACAUGCCGCGUGUGUGAAGAAGGCCUUCGGUUUGUAAAGCACUUUCAGCGAGGAGGCGUUACUCGCAGAAGAAGCACCGGCUAACUCCGUGCCAGCAGCCGCGGUAAUUC
rnacentral:rRNA from 1 species